CCUACGGGCGGCAGCAGUAGGGAAUCUUCGGCAAUGGGGGGAACCCUGACCGAGCAACGCCGCGUGGACGAAGAAGUUAUUCGUAAUGUAAAGUUCUUUUAACAGGGAAGAAAGUGAAAUUUGACGGUACCUGACGAAUCAGCUCCGGCUAACUACGUGCCAGCAGCCGCGGUAAUACGUAGGGAGCGAGCGUUAUACGGAAUUCUUGGGCGUAAAGGGUGCGUAGAUGGCAUAGUAAGUCUUUGGUAAAAAUGCUGGGCUCAACCCAGUAGGGCAAAAGAUACUGCAAAACUAGAGGAUGACAGAGGCAAGUGGAACUACAUGUGUAGCGGUAAAAUGCGUAAAUAUAUGUAAGAACACCAGUGGCGAAGGCGGCUUGCUGGGUCGUUACUGACAUUGAGGCACGAAAGCGUGGGUAGCAAACAGGAUUAGAUACCCUAGUAGUC
rnacentral:rRNA from 1 species